GGGGAUAUAGCUCAGUUGGUACAGUGCUUGCCUCGCAUACAGGAGGCUCUGGGUUCACCCCCCAAUACCACCA
rnacentral:tRNA from 2 species